UACAGAGGUCUCAAGCGUUUGUUCGGAUUCAUUGGGCGUAAAGGGUGCGUAGGCGGCGCGGUAAGUCGGGUGUGAAAUCUCGGAGCUUAACUCCGAAACUGCAUUCGAUACUGCCGUGCUUGAGGACUGGAGAGGAGACUGGAAUUUACGGUGUAGCGGUGAAAUGCGUAGAUAUCGUAAGGAAGACCAGUGGCGAAGGCGGGUCUCUGG
rnacentral:rRNA from 1 species